AUUGAACGCUGGCGGCAUGCUUUACACAUGCAAGUCGAACGGUAACAGGCCGCGAGGUGCUGACGAGUGGCGGACGGGUGAGUAAUGCAUCGGAACGUGCCCAGUCGUGGGGGAUAACUACUCGAAAGAGUAGCUAAUACCGCAUACGAUCUAUGGAUGAAAGCGGGGGACCGUAAGGCCUCGCGCGAUUGGAGCGGCCGAUGUCAGAUUAGGUAGUUGGUGGGGUAAAGGCUCACCAAGCCAACGAUCUGUAGCUGGUCUGAGAGGACGACCAGCCACACUGGGACUGAGACACGGCCCAGACUCCUACGGGAGGCAGCAGUGGGGAAUUUUGGACAAUGGGCGCAAGCCUGAUCCAGCAAUGCCGCGUGCAGGAAGAAGGCCUUCGGGUUGUAAACUGCUUUUGUACGGAACGAAACGGCUCUGGUUAAUACCCGGGGCUAAUGACGGUACCGUAAGAAUAAGCACCGGCUAACUACGUG
rnacentral:rRNA from 1 species